UAGGGAAUAUUGCGCAAUGGAGGGAACUCUGACGCAGCGACGCCGCGUGAGCGAUGAAGGUCUUCGGAUCGUAAAGCUCUGUCCUCAGGGAAGAAGGUUAUUAACUUGACGGUACCUGAGGAGGAAGCCCCGGCUAACUACGUGCCAGCAGCCGCGGUAAUACGUAGGGGGCAAGCGUUGUCCGGAAUUAUUGGGCGUAAAGGGUGCGUAGGCGGCCUUUUAAGUCAGAUGUGAAAGCCCACGGCUUAACCGUGGGAUUGCAUUUGAAACUGGAGGGCUUGAGUAUCGGAGAGGGUAGUGGAAUUCCCAGUGUAGCGGUGAAAUGCGUAGAUAUUGGGAGGAACACCAGUGGCGAAGGCGACUACCUGGACGAAAACUGACGCUGAUGCACGAAAGCUAGGGGAGCAAACAGG
rnacentral:rRNA from 1 species